rnacentral:snRNA from 1 species
UUGCGCUUCAGCGGUGCAUAUAUACUAAAAUUGGAACGAUACAGAGAAGAUUAGCAUCGCCCUGUGCAAGAAAUGGUAAUGAAAAACACUUUACAAUUCAUA